rnacentral:rRNA from 1 species
CACAGAGGUCCCAAGCGUUGUUCGGAUUCACUGGGCGUAAAGGGUGCGUAGGCGGUCGGGUAAGUCUGAUGUGAAAUCUCACAGCUUAACUGUGAAACUGCAUUGGAUACUAUUCGGCUAGAGAGUUGGAGGGGGGACUGGAAUUCUUGGUGUAGCAGUGAAAUGCGUAGAUAUCAAGAGGAACACCAGUGGCGAAGGCGAGUCCCUGGACAACUUCUGACGCUGAGGCACGAAAGCUAGGGGAGCAAACAGG